GGGUCAGUAGGUUGGUCGUGCCACCGGUACGUACUGGUCUCACUGAUUCCUCCUUCCCGAAGAACCGUAAUGCCAUUAAUUUGGUGUUGCGGGGAAACAGGACUGUCACUUUGAAAAAAUUAGAGUGUUUAAAGCAAGCUAACGCUUGAAUACAUUAGCAUGGAAUAAUGAAAUAGGACGAUCGAUCCUAUUUUGUUGGUUUCUAGGAUUGACGUA
rnacentral:rRNA from 1 species